rnacentral:rRNA from 1 species
GUGGGUGAUCUGCCCUGCACUUCGGGAUAAGCCUGGGAAACUGGGUCUAAUACCGGAUAGGAGCCAUUUUUAGUGUGAUGGUUGGAAAGUUUUUCGGUGUAGGAUGAGCUCGCGGCCUAUCAGCUUGUUGGUGGGGUAAUGGCCUACCAAGGCGGCGACGGGUAGCCGGCCUGAGAGGGUGGACGGCCACAUUGGGACUGAGAUACGGUCCAG